UACUUCCUCUGCUGUGUCUGUUCGCAGGUCAUUGACAGCCAGGAUCUGAUCCCCCUUAUGGAGUAGACAUGUGACCUCAGUCUGCUUGCAUUCAGAUACACUGAAGAGGAAGAACAUGAAACAUGGUCAGGAUCUGAUCCCCCUUAUGAAACAACUGUGAGGUCUCAAUCUGCUUACAUUCAGACACACUGGAGAGGAAGAAGAUGAGAGAUGAAGAACAAUGAUUAACUUCAUUUAUUGUCAUUGAGGGCCAGGAUCUGAUCCCCCUUAUGAAACAAAUGUGAGGUCUCAGUCUUACACUCAGACACACUGGAGAGGAAGAAGAUGAAAGAUGAAGAAGAAUGAUAAACUUCAUUUAUUGUAAGUAUUUCUCAUGUCUAUUA